rnacentral:lncRNA from 1 species
AAGAAAGGUACUUAGACAUGUUCCCCACAGGAUGUGUUAAGGUGUUGGCCAAUCAUCAAAUAUUGUCACUCCAAAGAACACAUUUAACAGCCGGGAAGAAAAUUGUAGGAAAAGAGAGCACUUUGGCACGGAAGGGAAUGCAAACUUGAUCUUGACUUUAAGGUCAAAGCAUUUUCAGAAUGUGCAGUCAGCAGAGAAUUGAAAAAAAAAAUCAAUGUGAAACAUAUUAGAGAAGAAUAAGGGGAAGAGUGAUGCAGAAGUGCUGGGAAGUCAUGCAGGGAUUGGAAACCACAAAGAUUCUACAGAAAGUAAGAACGUCCUGCACCGAGAUGUUUAUGAUUCCUUUUGCUUUUACUUCCCUUUUCUUACAUAGGGGUAGGUGAAAAUUAUGGUAAUUUGAGGUCUGGACCACUUUCAAAGCAUUUUCAGGGGAUGAAAAUGACUUUUGACCUCUAAAAAUGAGACAUGUUUCUUUUUUUUUUUUUCCUGAAACCCUUUUUUCUUUUCCUGUUUUGUUCAUGGUAGGGGAGAUGACUAUAUUCCAUACCUGUUAUGCACACAAACUUAGAAGGGUUUAUUGCAGCUCCAUGGCUGAAAAUAGCAAUGAAAAUUGUGAGACCUUUUAUGUCAGCAUUGGAAAUAAACU